rnacentral:rRNA from 1 species
CCCAGACUCCUACGGGAGGCAGCAGUGGGGGAUAUUGCACAAUGGGGGGAACCCUGAUGCAGCGACGCCGCGUGGGUGAAGGAGCGUUUCGGCGCGUAAAGCCCUAUCGGCAGGGAAGAAGGAGGACGGUACCUGACUAAGAAGCCCCGGCUAACUACGUGCCAGCAGCCGCGGUAAUACGUAGGGGGCAAGCGUUAUCCGGAUUUACUGGGUGUAAAGGGGGCGCAGACGGCAGCGCAAGCCAGGAGUGAAAGCCCGGGGCCCAACCCCGGGACUGCUCUUGGAACUGCGCGGCUGGAGUGCAGGAGGGGCAGGCGGAAUUCCUGGUGUAGCGGUGAAAUGCGUAGAUAUCAGGAGGAACACCGGUGGCGAAGGCGGCCUGCUGGACUGCGACUGACGUUGAGGCCCGAAAGCGUGGGGAGCAAACAGGAUUAGAUACCCCCGUACAU